AUUGAACGCUGGCGGCAGGCCUAACACAUGCAAGUCGAACGGCAGCGGGGGGUAGCUUGCUACCCCGCCGGCGAGUGGCGGACGGGUGAGUAAUGCCUGGGGAGCUGCCCAAUCGAGGGGGAUACCAGUUGGAAACGACUGCUAAUACCGUAUACGCCCUGAGGGGGAAAGGUGGGGAUCUUCGGCCCUACCGCGACUGGUUGCCCCCAGGGGGGAUUAGCGAGUUGGUGUGGUAACGGCUCACCAAGGCGACGAUCUCUAGCUGGUCUGAGAGGCUGACCAGCCACACUGGAACUGAGACACGGUCCAGACUCCUACGGGAGGCAGCAGUGGGGAAUAUUGCACAAUGGGGGAAACCCUGAUGCAGCCAUGCCGCGUGUGUGAAGAAGGCCUUCGGGUUGUAAAGCACUUUCAGCGAGGAGGAAAGGUGGCUAGCUAAUACCUAGUUGCUGUGACGUUACUCGCAGAAGAAGCACCGGCUAACUCCGUGCCAGCCGCCGCGGUAA
rnacentral:rRNA from 1 species